rnacentral:rRNA from 1 species
GACGAACGCUGGCGGCGUGCUUAACACAUGCAAGUCGAACGGAAAGGCCUUUUCGGAGGUACUCGAGUGGCGCACGGGUGAGUAACACAUGGGUGAUCUGCCCUGCACUCUGGGAUAAGCCUGGGAAACUGGGUCUAAUACCGGAUAGGACCGCACUUUAGUGUGUGUGGUGGAAAGUUUUUUCGGUGUAGGAUGAGCCCGCGGCCUAUCAGCUUGUUGGUGGGGUAAUGGCCUACCAAGGCGGCGACGGGUAGCCGGACUGAGAGGUUGGUCGGCCACAUUGGGACUGAGAUACGGCCCAGACUCCUACGGGAGGCAGCAGUGGGGAAUAUUGCACAAUGGGCGCAAGCCUGAUGCAGCGACGCCGCGUGGGGGAUGACGGCCUUCGGGUUGUAAACUCCUUUCGCCAGGGACGAAGCGUUUUGUGACGGUACCUGGAGAAGAAGCACCGGCUAACUACGUG